rnacentral:rRNA from 1 species
CCUACGGGUGGCAGCAGUGGGGAAUAUUGCACAAUGGGGGAAACCCUGAUGCAGCGACGCCGCGUGAAGGAAGAAGUAUUUCGGUAUGUAAACUUCUAUCAGUAGGGAAGAAAAUGACGGUACCUGACUAAUAAGCUCCGGCUAACUACGUGCCAGCAGCCGCGGUAAUACGUAGGGGGCAAGCGUUAUCCGGAUUUACUGGGUGUAAAGGGAGCGUAGGCGGUUUAGCAAGUCAGAAGUGAAAGCCCGGGGCUCAACUCCGGGACUGCAUUUGAAACUGUUGAACUAGAGUGCAGGAGAGGUAAGUGGAAUUCGUGGUGUAGCGGUGAAAUGCGUAGAUAUUAGGAGGAACACCAGUUGCGAAGGCGGCUUACUGGACUGUAAAUGACGCUGAGGCUCGAAAGCGUGGGGAGCAAACAGGAUUAGAUACCCCAGUAGUC